GACGUUCCUCUUUGCCUGGGUGCAAACAACAUACGAAAGUGCUUGUGUGAAUUUUUUUCAGCGCAGUACGGACCCAGAAUGAAAUUGCAGAAAUUAGGCCGGAAUUUCACAAGUUUCGGUAGAGGAUAGCCUUGGUUUUUACAAAAUUUCUGAAAAAUUCUUCCGGAAUGGUUUUUUCCUGAAAUUCCACCCAAGAAUCUCCACUGAAUUUGGGACAAAACGGGACAAAUUUCAGGUCAAACCGAUGAGUAUUCACCCACGAAAAGAAUCAAACAGUUUCACACACAAACGAACCUUCCUUUCAGCCCUGGCAGUGACGAAUAAAAAAUUUAUUGCCAAUCUUGUGGGACGAAUAUGGGGCUCACACCUCAGCCAAAACUCAACAGACACAGUGACGAAUGUCUGGUAAAAAUUUCAGACCAAAAUACCCAAGGAGUAAGGCGCACUAAGUCCCAGACCGAGAGUGAACAAAACCGGUUUUCCGAAAACAAAACGUCCUGGCUUUUCUUCCCCGUAUCUUCUUUCUAUGAUCCGUUUAUGGACGUUCCUCCUUGCCUGGGUGCAAACAACAUACGAAAGUGCUUGUGUGAAUUUUUUUCAGCGCAGUACGGACCCAGAAUGAAAUUGCAGAAAUUAGGCCGGAAUUUCACGAGUUUCGGUGGAGGAUAGCCCCUUGGUUUUUGCAAAAUUUCUGAAAAAUUCUUCCGGAAUGGUUUUUUUCCUGAAAUUCCACCCAAGAAUCUCCACUGAAUUUGGGACAAAACGGGACAAAUUUCAGGUCAAACGGAUGAGUAUUCACCCACGAAAAAAAUCAAACAGUUUCACACACAAA
rnacentral:lncRNA from 1 species